GCCCGGCUAGCUCAAUCGGUAGAGCGUGAGACUCUUAACAGAAGGAUUCUCCCGUCCAAUCUCAAGGUUGUGGGUUCGACCCCCACGUCGGGCU